UCCCCCAAUUAGUUGUUGUGGCUUUGGUGUUUAGCUUUGCCCCAAUUGGAAUUGAAGGAUUUCUAACUCCAUGGUUCCUUGUUAGUGUUUGUCUUUGCCUUUUCUUUUUAUUUCUCUUCGUCAAUGUUAGUAAUUUAAAUUCUGCCUACUUUUUUGGUGUUUGCCUUUGCCAUUUCCUUUUUAUUUCUCAUUCCCUAUAUACAUUUUUUUCUUCAUAUCAUUCUUCCUUGUUGCAGCUGUACUUCCCUGUAACCAUUCGAAAGCAUUGGUUUUCUUUCUUCAUUUGUUUAAAGGGAGGAGCCUUUGCUUUCCUUGAUCCAGCUUUCAAUGAACAUUCUAAAUUUCACUUGCUGAUUAGCGAUCUGCUAGUACAUUUUUAAUCAAUUUGUUUCCCUUUUAUAGGCACUGUGUUGUUAUCUUUUAAGAUUUAUCUCUUGUAUUUUCUUUUAUUCGAACGGAUUAUAAACUUUAUAGGUGUUUUCUUUUAUUCUUGUAUUUUUCUAUUAGGGUUGCUUUUAUUACUCCCAUAUUGGGAAACAAAUCAAUUUUGAAAAAAUUGACGUUAUCUACCUAUAGUUGUUCCCAACCAAACUAAUAGGUAAUUUGUUUUUUUAGUAUAGCUGGCCUGAUUUUCUCUUAUAUUCUUCUGUUGAUUUUGUUGGUAUCUUUUUUUUCUUCCUUUAUUCAUGUGAAACGAGGCACGCAAUUGCGGUAUCUUUACAUUCAAGUUUAUGGAAGUGUGAACUACAAGGACUCAAGUUGUUAACCAUUUUUCAAGCACUGGCAUCCUCAACUUAAGGACAAAGUAUGCUAAUGAUAAGUUUUUUAGCGAGUUCAACAGGGUGGAUAAGUUCUUGACUUCUUGUUACUGAUUUCUUUGAUGAUGUAAGCACUUUUGUUUUCUAUACUACAAAUUUAUAGUAAAGAGGUUCAUGAUUUCCAGUAUAUUUUUAGUUCUACUUUUGGCUCAAGGUUGCCUAAUUUACUGUACUCGUCUACAUCAUUCACUGUCUCUUGUACUACGUAUUUUCAGCUUUUUGGCUCAGUGUUAAUUGCUUCCCUUUGUGCUAUAUAUCUUAAUGAUUGGUCUAAUGUUGGUUUGAUCUUUUUUUUCAGACUACAAAUUAACAAUGAUGGACAAGAAGGCCUUUUUAGCAUUAGAGAGAUGUUGAACUGCUUUUUUCACAACGGAUAGGGCAGUGUGUAUGUUGGUUCAGUGUGUGGUCAUCUGUAUGAUAGGAAGUGUGUAUGUUGGUUCAGCUGUUUUUUCGUUUCGGAAAGGAGGAUUGCCCCCGGCCUCUCCGUUGCAAUGUUGGUUCAUCUGUGUCUCUAUGAUCCAUAGAUGACACGAGGUACUAUACUUGCAAGGUUUUCUUACUGUAAUUUCAAGGUUUUUCACUUGCUUGUCAUGAAUGCAAAUGGGUCCAGUCCAACCCGCGUACAUACA
rnacentral:lncRNA from 1 species